GUAGGUGGCAAGCGUUAUCCGGAUUUAUUGGGCGUAAAGCGAGCGCAGGCGGAAAGAUAAGUCUGAUGUGAAAGCCCCCGGCUUAACCGAGGAAUUGCAUCAGAAACUGUUGAACUUGAGUGCAGAAGAGGAGAGUGGAACUCCAUGUGUAGCGGUGGAAUGCGUAGAUAUAUGGAAGAACACCAGUGGCGAAGGCGGCUGUCUGGUCUGCAACUGACGCUGAGGCUCGAAAGCAUGGGUAGCG
rnacentral:rRNA from 1 species